GCUGGGUAUGGUCACGCAUGCCUGUAAUCCCAGUGGCUCGGGAGGCUGAGGUAGGAGGAUCGCAAGUUCAAAGCCAGCCUCAGCCAAAGUGAGGCCCUAAGCAACUCAGGGAGACCCUGUCUCUA
rnacentral:sRNA from 1 species